rnacentral:ncRNA from 2 species
GAUCCCGCUCCGGGGUGCACGCAGGCUGCGUGCUGAGAUGGCCAAGUUGGCCGAACCCGCGAACUUGAUCUGGUUCAUACCAGCGUAAGAAGAGCUGCGACUCCCCGG